rnacentral:rRNA from 1 species
CAGCCGCCGCGGUAAUACGUAGGUGGCAAGCGUUGUCCGGGAUUAUUGGGCGUAAAGGGCUCGCAGGCGGUUUCUUAAGUCUGAUGUGAAAGCCCCCGGCUCAACCGGGGAGGGUCGUUGGAAACUGGGAACCUUGAGUGCGGAAGAGGAGAGUGGAAUUCCACGUGUAGCAGUGAAAUGCGUAGAGAUGUGGAGGAACACCAGUGGCGAAGGCGACUCUCUGGUCUGUAACUGACGCUGAGGAGCGAAAGCGUGGGGAGCGAACAGGAUUAGAUACCCCCGUAGUCCCUGUCUCUUAUAA